rnacentral:hammerhead_ribozyme from 1 species
AUUUAGCUGACGAGUCUCAAAUAGAACGAAACGUGCGUCAAAUUGGAU